rnacentral:rRNA from 1 species
CUACGUGCCAGCAGCCGCGGUAAUACGGAAGGUCCGGGCGUUAUCCGGAUUUAUUGGGUUUAAAGGGAGCGUAGGCCGCGCCUUAAGCGUGUUGUGAAAUCCGGUUGCUCAACAUCCGGCUUGCAGCGCGAACUGGGGCGCUUGAGUGCGCUGAAAGUAGGCGGAAUUCGUGGUGUAGCGGUGAAAUGCUUAGAUAUCACGAGGAACUCCGAUUGCGAAGGCAGCCUACUGUAGCGCUACUGACGCUGAUGCUCGAAAGCGUGGGUAUCGAACAGGAUUAGAUACCCUGGUAGUCCACGCGGUAAACGAUGGAUGCUCGUUGUCGGCCCUUUGGGUCGGUGACCAAGCGAAAGCGUUAAGCAUCCCACCUGGGGAGUACGCCGGCAACGGUGAAACUCAAAGGAAUUGACGGGGGCCCGCACAAGCGGAGGAACAUGUGGUUUAAUUCGAUGAUACGCGAGGAACCUUACCCGGGCUUGA